AUAUUUCAAGAUGCAGUGUUGUGGAAAAGAAAUAUUUUACCAAGCACUGUCAGGUGAAAUCGCUCAAUCAGGUUUAUUCAUAUAUUGUGCACAAUACAGAGAGCUUGUAAUGAAGCAAUCAGUAAUGAAGCAGGUCUGGAUGAAAAGCUCUGCCAGGCAGAGAAACACAAGGAUAAAGAAUUCAAAACAAGGGAAUGAAAACUUUUCAAAAGUACUGACAGACUGAUCUAAUAUUCUUCAGAUCAGGCAGAAAGAAAAUCCCAUAAAACUUUAAAUCCUCAUUUUUAAAGCCGCAAGGCAAUAAAAUCCGUCAUCAGAACAGACAUAAAUGUUAGAGGGAUUUUAUUUGGUAAAGGUCUUUAGCCACAAGAAGCCAUUUAACACGCCCUCUUCAAUGCUUUGAAAUAAUAAUUGCAUCAUUCCAUGUUUGUCACUCUGUUUCUCAGAGAGAUGCAGAGGAAGAUCUGUGCAUUUUCACCCGGACUGCUGGUCUUACCGUAUCUGUCCCUCUGCAGGAAAAUCAGAUGACGAGCUGCAUCAUCAAUCUCUGCCUUGUACUCCGAUUCCAUCUUUUAUCAUCUGCUCCCCAUGCUGGGCUAUAUGUGAUGUUGCUCACUCAUUACUGACUCCUCGCAC